AGGACGAACGCUGGCGGCGUGCUUAACACAUGCAAGUCGAGCGGAAAGGCCCUUCGGGGUACUCGAGCGGCGAACGGGUGAGUAACACGUGAGUAAUCUGCCCCUAGCUCUGGGAUAGCUCCGGGAAACCGGGAUUAAUACCAGAUACGACCACUUUAGACAUCUUCUGUGGUGGAAAGAACUUCGGCUAGGGAUGAACUCGCGGCCUAUCAGCUUGUUGGUGAGGUAACGGCUCACCAAGGCGACGACGGGUAGCCGGCCUGAGAGGGCGACCGGCCACACUGGGACUGAGACACGGCCCAGACUCCUACGGGAGGCAGCAGUGGGGAAUAUUGCGCAAUGGGCGAAAGCCUGACGCAGCGACGCCGCGUGGGGGAUGAAGGCCUUCGGGUUGUAAACCCCUUUCAGCAGGGACGAAGCGAAAGUGACGGUACCUGCAGAAGAAGCGCCGGCUAACUACGUGCCAGCAGCCGC
rnacentral:rRNA from 1 species